UAGUCCGCGCCGUAAACGAUGAUUACUGGAUGUUGGCGAUAUAUUGUCAGUGUCUGAGCGAAAGUAUUAAGUAAUCCACCUGGGGAGUACGUUGGCAACAAUGAAACUCAAAGGAAUUGACGGGGGCCCGCACAAGCGGAGGAACAUGUGGUUUAAUUCGAUGAUACGCGAGGAACCUUACCUGGGCUUAAAUGUAGAGUGCAUAGAUCAGAGAUGAUCUUUUCUUCGGACUCUUUACAAGGUGCUGCAUGGUUGUCGUCAGCUCGUGCCGUGAGGUGUCGGGUUAAGUCCCAUAACGAGCGCAACCCCUAUCGUUAGUUGCUAUCAGGUCAAGCUGAGGACUCUAGCGAGACUGCCACCGUAAGGUGAGAGGAAGGUGGGGAUGACGUCAAAUCAGCACGGCCCUUACGUCCAGGGCUACACACGUGUUACAAUGGUAAGUACAAAGGGCAGCUACCUGGCAACAGGAUGCUAAACUCAAAAGCUUAUCUCAGUUCGG
rnacentral:rRNA from 1 species